UGCUGCAUAAACACACCAAAGCAAAAACUCAACCUGUCCACCAACACAGCGACAUCAGACUAAAUAAGACUGGACUAAAUAAAAAAUAAAUCAACCAUUAUUCAAGACGAGUAUAUAUAUAUUUCUUAUAUACUCCUCUUGUAAAAGCAAAGAUGUCCAUUACAAUACGACAUUCAGCGUAAUAUAUGCUGCUUGUUGAACUGCUGGACAGAACAAAAAAAUAAAUGAAAUAGAAUAAAAUAAUUAUCUGUGACUAGUCAUUCACACUGUUUUACACUUAAGCAAUUAACCACACACAUUUUUCAAAAUAAAAGCACAAAUUCAGAUCUUUAGCUUCAUAUAGCAAUAUUUAUCCGUGUCAGGCAAGGUUGUAGUUUAACUGGAGACAGGCUUUAUUGAUACAAUCGUGGUCAAUUCAGGCAGGGUCAUACACGAGGAAGCUUCAGCGACAGUACAAAGGGAGCAGGCAGGUUCAGGUCCAAAAACAGCCAAGGUUGUCAACAGGUAAGCACGGCAGAGGUAGAGAUAAGGAUCAGGCGAUCUCAGGUCAAAAACAGUCAGGUACAUUACCAGGUUAUCUCAGCAAAGGUACAGACAAGGAGCAGGCAGAAAUCAGGAGUAACGAGAAUCAGGAACAAGAUCACGAUCGAGGUAAGCUAACACGGCAAUGCUAGAAAGUGGUGAGUACAUGCGACAAUCUGGCAAUUAGCUAGUGUGAGAUCUGGAGCUUUUAUGCUGGAGCUGAUUACUGAUUACUGUCAGGUGUGCAUAAUGAGAACUGGUGAUGACGUAAGAACAGCUGUGGUGUGAACGGAGCAGGAAGUCCUUCAAAAUAAAGAAAAUCUGACAGAUUGUGACACACACACACCUACUCAACAUCCUUCUAAAAUGAAAGCACCAAUCCAAAUCUUUAGACCAAAUAGCACAUUUUCUGUGUGGUGAGUGAGCUCUGCUGCUCACUCGAGACAUGAAACGCCGUGCAAAAAAACAACCAAAAAAAAGAUGGCUUGCUCGCAGAUAGUGAGUUUAUUCAGUCCAAAAGUAUAGUGCAGAAAAGAAUCAGGUGCAGUAUUUACAGUUGCUCCAAAAACCCCGCGGGUGCAACAGACAAAAAAAACGAAAAACAGAAUGAUAAGGACAACUAUGGAUGUGGAAGUCAACCUGAAAAAAAAACUGCUCAAAUAAAAGGAAUGUCUCUUCUCUUCUCUUCUCUUCUCUUCUCUUCUCUUCUCUUCUCUUCUCUUCUCUUCUCUUCUCUUCUCUUCUCUUCUCUUCUCUUCUCUUCUCUUCUCUUCUCUUCUCUUCUCUUCUCUUCCACUCUCUCACCAAACAACUCGCUCUCCGUCCAGUCCACUCUCCCUCACAAGGGAGUUUGGCCACUCUUCUUAAAGGCCUGGCCCCGCCCCCUUCAACUGGGUGGAACCAUUCUCUAGAACGUUCUGGAAACUAAACAUUUAUAAUCCCAAUAUUCACCUUUAAACACGUAUAAAUCAAUCACCCAUAUUCCCACAAUAAUUCUCAGAUUCAUAACACAAGAAUACCCCACAAAUAAUGACUAGGACCAAAUAAUAACAACAAACAAAAGUGGUUUCGUCGGACCCGCGCCUCGCGCCGAGGCGACACUGCAAUGACGUCAAAAGUGAGCGUCGCCCAGCUGUCCGGUUUUGCCGUCGCGACGCGGGAGUCCGACUACUCCCGACACGAGACUGGCCUCUAUCACAACAGGCACCAAUUGGCCAAGUGUAAAUCUCACAGGAUUACACUUCUGCUUAUCAUGCCAAAAGGACAGCCUGUCACAUUUAUCACCGCAAAGCUGUCUCUCCCGGGACUGGGACCACCAGCCGUAAAAUGUGGAAUUUGCUUGUUAAGAGAACAAGAGACUUAAUCUGGACCUAGUCCUGGUUCAGAUGGACCAGAACUUUCAACUGCCAUGAAACUGAUGUCAUUGUAUUCUGUGAACAAAAUGCUAUUAUUUGAUAUUAGAUUGGUUUCUGUGAUGUUCAAUGCCUGAUCUACAGACUUGCCAGGAAAUUCCUCAAGAACAACAAAGGGACUUCAACUUAUCAGCAUGCCUUCCUUUGUGUGAAUGUAUAAAAUUGAAAUAAAGAUACUUAAUGAAAAAGA